rnacentral:rRNA from 1 species
GAUGAACGCUGGCGGCGUGCCUAAUACAUGCAAGUCGAGCGAACAGACGAGGAGCUUGCUCCUCUGACGUUAGCGGCGGACGGGUGAGUAACACGUGAAUAACCUACCUAUAAGACUGGGAUAACUUCGGGAAACCGGAGCUAAUACCGGAUAAUAUAUUGAACCGCAUGGUUCAAUAGUGAAAGACGGUUUUGCUGUCACUUAUAGAUGGAUCCGCGCCGCAUUAGCUAGUUGGUAAGGUAACGGCUUACCAAGGCAACGAUGCGUAGCCGACCUGAGAGGGUGAUCGGCCACACUGGAACUGAGACACGGUCCAGACUCCUACGGGAGGCAGCAGUAGGGAAUCUUCCGCAAUGGGCGAAAGCUUGACGGAGCAACGCCGCGUGAGUGAUGAAGGUCUUCGGAUCGUAAAACUCUGUUAUUAGGGAAGAACAAAUGUGUAAGUAACUAUGCACGUCUGGACGGUACCUAAUCAGAAAGCCACGGCUAACUACGU